rnacentral:rRNA from 1 species
GUGGGGAAUUUUGGACAAUGGGCGCAAGCCUGAUCCAGCAAUGCCGCGUGCAGGAAGAAGGCCUUCGGGUUGUAAACUGCUUUUGUACGGAACGAAACGGCUCUGGUUAAUACCCGGGGCUAAUGACGGUACCGUAAGAAUAAGCACCGGCUAACUACGUGCCAGCAGCCGCGGUAAUACGUCGGGUGCAAGCGUUAAUCGGAAUUACUGGGCGUAAAGCGUGCGCAGGCGGUUUUGUAAGACAGGCGUGAAAUCCCCGGGCUCAACCUGGGAAUUGCGCUUGUGACUGGAAGGCUGGAGUGCGGCAGGGAGGGAUGGAAUUCCGCGUGUAGCAGUGAAAUGCGUAGAUAUGCGGAGGAACACCGAUGGCGAAGGCAAUCCCCUGGGCCUGCACUGACGCUCAUGCACGAAAGCGUGGGGAGCAAACAGGAUUAGAAACCCCGGUAGACC